rnacentral:lncRNA from 1 species
GACUACACCUCCCCCACCCUCCUGCAGCAGGGUGGAUCCCACCUAGCGGGACUCCCCACCCACCCCUCCAGGCCUUCUCCACUCCGGACUCUGGCCACUUGCCACCGUUGUCGCCCGCCGCCGCUGCAGGGAGGGUGCACGGAGGGAGCAGACCGUCUCCGGAGCCCGCCGCCCUGGGGGCUGCAGUGAUGGGGCCGGGCUGAGGCACCUGCCGGCGGGGUAGCAGGGCAGUCGAGCACGGAGGGAGGGGCGGGCCUCCAGGGGACUUCAGCGGGAGCCGGGCCUGGGGCGGUGCCGCACUUGCACACGGAGUGUGGGGGGCCAGGCCUGGGACCAGGAGCUGGGGCCGGGCUUCGGCGCAGAGGCAGGAAGAGGAAGCGGCACCCGCUUCGGGGACCCAGCCGGCGGCCAGGCCACCGCGCCCACCCGGCCGAUGGCACCGUGUUCCUGCGCCUCGGGAGGGAGGAGGCUCUGCGCGGGACUGCAGGUUCUGCCCCGCAUCGGAGUGAUCGCUGAGCCUGACGCUCUCGAAGGCUGGGCCUGGGGCCCGCAAUCUACUCCGGAGGCUUUCCCACUGGGCAGGGUCGCUAGCAGGGUGCCACCCGGGUGCAGUGAGGACCUGGAGCCCCUGCCCCAGGCUGUGAGGAGACUUGACCAGAGCUGCCUGAAUGCUCCACGGAGCAGGUGGGAGCCCACCCUCCCAGGUGCAGGACCCGGGAGUCUCUGCACUCUGCACCCUCGGGGGCCCAGGGGACCCCCUUGCCCUUGCAGGCUUGUAUCUGCUCCUGCUGCCUAGCCUCUCCCCACUGCCGGCGCCUGCCUGGAUCUCGGAGCAGGGUUGGGGCCGUGCCCCAGCACUGACAGCCCGGCCAGGUGUGUGCACACACGGGGCAGUGCUGAUAUGCCAGUCACCUGCCACCUCGGCCGCCUCCGGACCUUGGGCACCAAAAAGCACUUUUUAAAAAUAUACUUUAAGUUAUGGGAUACAUGUGCAGAACGUGCAGGUUUGUUACAUAGGUAUACACGUGCCAUGGUGGUUUGCUGCACCCAUCAACCCGUCAUCUACAUCAGGUAUUUCUCCUAAUGUUAUCCCUCCUCUAGCCCACCAUCCCCUGACAGGCCCCGGUGUGUGAUGUUCCCUUCCCUGUGUCCAUGUGUUCUCAAUGUUCAACUCCCGCUUAUGACUGAGAACAUGCAGUGUUUGGUUUUCUGUUCCUAUGUUAGUUUGCUGAGAAUGAUGGUUUCCAGCUUCAUCCAUGUCCCCGCAAAGGAUAUGAACCCAUCCUUUUUUAUGGCUGCAUAGUAUUCCAUGGGAUAUAUGUGCCACAUUUUCUUUAUCCAGUCUAUCAUUGAUGGGCAUUUGGGUUGGUUCCAAGUCUU